AAUGACAACUCCAAAUUUUUCCUUUUGUUUCAUUCAUUCAUCUUCUGAACCCGCUUUAUCCUCACCAGGGUCAUGGGGGGGUGCUGGAGUCUAGCCCAGCUACUUAUGUGCGAAGGCGGGGUACGCCCUGGAUGAGUCACCAGUUCAUCGCAGGGC